rnacentral:lncRNA from 1 species
CCCGGGGCGGGUCCCGGCCGGGAGGGGCGCUCGGGGACCUCGCGGGAGGUCGCCCCCGGCCGCCGGGCCGCCGAGGCCUCUUUUAACCUUGGUCCCUCCCGCGCGCUCGCUCUUCCGCCCCGGCGCGCGACCCGGCUCAGUCCAGUUCAAGAUGCUGAUGAAGUUCAGGGCUGGUGCUUGAAAGACAAUUGGGGUGCUUGAAAGAAGCUUUUCAAGUAGAAAAAGUGUAUUUGAACAUGUAAUUGAUACAUAGAAGCUUUUGCUUUCCUUGUCCCUCUUGUGGUAG